UAGGUUUUUUGUUUUGUUUUGUUUUGUCUUUUGUCUUUUCUAGGGCCUCACCCGCGGCAUGAGGGAUCCCAGGCUAGGGGUCUAAUUGGAGCUGUAGCCUCUGGCCUACGCCAGAGCCACAGAAAUGCCAGAUCCAGGCUGUGUCUGCCACCUACACCAUAGCUCAUGGCAAUGCUGGAUCCUCAACCCACUGAGCGAGGCCAGGGAUCAAACCCCCAUGGUUCCUAGUGGUAUUCGUUAACCACUGAGCCACGACGGGAACUCCUGAAAAACUAUUUUUUAAGUUUAAAAAAAAAAAAAUUAUUAGAGUAUAGUUGACUUACAGUAUUUUGAUAGCUUCAGGUAUACAGUGAAGCGAAUUGGUUAUACAUGGACGUAUAUCUGUUCUUUUUCAGUCUUUUCCCAUAUAGGCCAAAAGGACCAGUUUUAAUAUAUGAAAUACAUAUCUACCAAUACAUCAACUACAAAAAUAAUUGAUGAAAACUCUCAGACUCAUUCAUAUCAUUGUUCUAAGUUCUGUUUUCAGUUUUACUAUGUAGACUCACUCCUAAGUUCAAGAUUAUUGCAAGGACAACUUACAGCUUCUUUUUAAAAGCACUUGAUGAGGUUUACAGCUCAGCUACUUAAAUAUAUCCUGCUUACUCAAACUGGCAAAUGAUUCACCACCAAGGACAAUAAAACAUAAUCAACAAGGUUUUAAUCCUCACUAUUCUCCCUGGCAGCUUUCCAUGAGGCUGUGGUUCCCAGAAAGACUGAAGUAAUUAUCCAUCUAUCUUGUUUCCUUCCUCCUUCUCUCCCUCCCUCCCUCUCCUCUGCUCUCCUCUACCUCCCUCCCCCCUCCUCCUAUCUACCUACUUAUCUAUCUAUAUAUUUAGUCUAUUUCUUAUUGUCUUAGUCCCUGCUUAUUCCUAGUAAAGAAAACCACUGUCUACUCUGACCAAAUCUAAACUUUGAGAGGGUUGGGAGAUGGGAGAAAGCAUUGUAGAAUGUUUGCACCCAGCCAAGGGGAGAUAUCCUGUAUGCAGCUACUGAUUUUUUAAAUAAUACCUUUCUUUGUCAAAACGUAUUUUUUUGAGUUGUCAUAAAUUAUGCUACAUAAUGGUUUGGGUACCAAGUUGAGUCUGUAAACAUUGUGCUCACAGCUGGUGAAUCUGUUACAUUUUGCUUCUGGCUUGCAGCCUUUCAGUUUAUUUAAAUAUCACAUCUGCUCAGAGCUGGCGCUGGGGCACAGACUUGAGAAAUUUGAUACACUUAAGUUAACCUUUCAACUUGAACUUUCUAACUAGAUGCGCCCGCGUUCUUAGUUUUGGUGCAACACCCCCUACCCCAACCCAGGAUGUGGGUGUGCAUGACCACGCGCAUACACACACACAUUUUCUUUCUCUCAAAUGGCUAUAUGGGCAGACUUGGCUGCUACACCUUAAUGUUAGUUACACUAUAAAAUCUGAGCUUGAUUUAUGUUCUCCUAUUGUAAAAUCACACUGUGGCCUCUACAAUGUUUUCUGCAAACAGUAACUGCAAGCAUAAAAAAAAGUCCUGUGUAAGGAAGUUCUCUUUUAUAACAAGGGAGCUACAAGGAGAGGUCUGAGGACAAGGGUUUGAAUCCUCAAGAACUGGGAUCUGGGGCUCUAAGCCAUUUUCAAGAUCCAAGAUGAACCAGUGAACUGAGAAGAAUGGACUUGGAAGUUAGUUCUCAAAUUACACCAAAACUCAGGUCCAGAAAUUAAGAGACUGGCUUUAGAGGUAUCAUUGAGCAAGUGUGCUUCUGACCACCAUCACCCCAUUGAUUUUACAGGAAAUCUCAGUCCACUUUUUCAGGGAUUGUCCACAUCGCUCGGCCUCAUACCUCCUACAUCCUCAACUGCAAAAAGGAUGGGUUUGGUCUAAUAUUAGGACAUUGGCAAGGCUAGCUGAGUACCAGGUUUCCAGGCUUUUUGUGGUUCUAGUCAGACUAGAGAAAUAAAUAUCUUUGAUUCAAUAUCUACAAGUCUGUAGCAUUUCACCUCUGCUCUAGGGGCUGUAAACAAAUUUAAGGUGUCUCUAACCUCACAGAAUUUAUUGUCCAGAUGCAGAGAAUAGAUACAUGAAACAGUAGCAGAGAUAAAGAUAUACUUAGACUAGACAAGAUGAGAAAAGAUAGCAUAGGAUGUUAUUAAAUUGUAAACCACACAAAACAAUUUCAAAGACAGUAAGCAUUGUAGGGAAGGGAGAUUACCAGGGCACCCAGAUCAUAGAAAAUGUCAUGGGUCUUCAGCAAAAUCUCAACACAUAGAUAGUUUAUAACCUAGCAAAAUAAAGUAAGACUUUCUGGCUGGGAAAAAAAAGGCCAGGAACUGGAAUAUUUGGGGUUCAGUAAUAAGACAGCUCCUACCUUAGCAGAUAUUACUCAUAUUAUUCUUUAUUUUUCUGUUGAAUUCUGUAACUUUCCCUUAGCAGGGCACAGUUUGAAAGGAUUAUGGCUGCCUGAUCCGUGAAAGAUGAAAGUGAGUUUCAUGUUGAAUAGGUAUCCUGAUAAAAUGAAUAAAUUCCAAAAACAGUGGUAGCUUCCACUUAUUAUUUACUAUGCAUAGUUACUCUUACAAGUGUUUGACAUGCAUAUCAACUCAUUCAAUUCCUCCAUAGAUCUAUGAUGUAAAUCCUAUUAAUUUUCCCAUUUAAUGGGUUAGGAAACUCAGGCACAGUGAAUUUGAGUUGUCCAGAGUCAAGUAGGCAAUUAGUGGUGAAACUGGAACUCUAAGCAAUGUUCCUUCCCCAUCCAAUCUUUCCACUCAAAUACAGCUCCCAACAAGAUGCUGGAGCAUAUCAUAUUGUUGGGGAAAUGUAAUGACUCUGGCUCGGGUUGUCAGUGUCAGAAAGUGAGGCACGUGGACAACGGGAGAUCUCGACAAGGCUCUUUACUUCUGCAGAAGGGCGCUGAUACUCAAAAAGCGCAUGCAAAGAAGAAAAGACCCUCCCUAUUUAUCCUUGGCACAGGUGAUGUACCUGUCCCCUUCCCAUUGGUUAGGUCAGGGCACACAUUCUUCCUGGUUGGCUAAUUGAAACAAACUGUUGUUGGGAGAAGAGGUAAAGAGGAAGGGGUUGCAGAAGGGUGUUUCAGCUGAAACCAUAGCAAAAUAGAGUAACCAAGAUUUCCUCUGAUAGAAGAGACAUUAUGCUACUUUCCACAAUAUGCAUCUCACAAAACUAUCUCUGAUUUCUUAGGCUACCUAGAUGCAUAGAUUUCUCUGAAUGCUAAAUAUCUUUAUAUUUAUCUUACUUAGUUCUUUUAAAAAAGGUCUUUUCUGUUUUCUCGUUUUCUCUGGCUUAGACUAUUAUUACCAUCAUUUUAAACUUAGUUUUUUUCUUUAUAACUCUGCUUAAUAAACAUUAGCCAUUCCAUCUUUGUACCCAAAUCCUUAAAGAUAAAUUGUUUAAAAACUUACGCCAAUAUAUAUGUGAGCUUGAUAAUUUGCUUUCCUAAAACAGAUUGGGACAUCUGUUUUACUCUUUCCUUCUCAGUGUGCAUGUAUAUUCUAAAAAGUGAUUGGUAAUCCCUGUGUAACAAAAUGAAUGCUAUGAAGAGGCAGUACCUCCUAUGGUUGGAGCAGAAAGAACUGUGAAACCACACUGCCUAAAAUUAAAUCUUUCCCCAUUCUUUCCUUUCAACUUCCUAUAUACCUUUGUACAAAUUAUUUAACUUCUCUGUACUUCAGUUUUAUUUUUUUCCCUAAUUUAUAAAAUGGUAUAAUAUAACCUAUCUGAUAAAUAGGUUAGAGGUAUAUUUGUAAAGCAUUUAGGUAGGCUUGGCACUAAUAAUCUACUUCUACCACCACCAGGAAAAACAACAAUAAAACAUAAUCGUAAAUGCUAGCUAUUACUGUUACUAUUAUUAAGUAGUUAAUGAAAUCAUCUUAAGAGAACUGACCCCAUCAAGAUAUCAUAAACCCUUUCUUGUAAAAGCUGAGAUUAUAAGACAUAACUUUAAAUAGAACCACAACCAGUCCUGAACCCUCCUGCCUUCAACACAAUUGCAUCAACAUACACACAUACGUUCUGUUAGUAGUAAAAGACAGGAAACAUUUAAUGUCAACCGCUGGUCAAAUAAACUGUAGAUUAUUCACAAAAUAGAGUGCUUGAAGUCAUAAAAAGGAAUACUGAUGAUUAUCAUGAACUAAUUUUGAGUGUCCUCUAUAACAUAUUUUUAAAGGAAAAGAAGUAAAAUUCAGUAGAAUGUAUAUCGAUAAAUAAGGAGGGAGAAAAUAAGUGUUUUAUAUAUUCAAGAUUUGAAUGAACUCAAAAAGGAGGAAGCAAAACACAAUUGAAAAUAAACAAAA
rnacentral:lncRNA from 1 species